rnacentral:lncRNA from 1 species
AAAAGGUGGAGCUCCUGGUAGGAUAGCAGUGGCUCUCCCUCUCGCUGAUUCACUGUCUCUCGGUUUGCCGUGGAGAAAAGCAUGUGCUUCUCCUGUAGUCUACUAGCAUCUAGAAAUAACUCCAUGAUACGUCUCCUCCACCAGAAUUCCAUUUUCAGAGUUGCUGUUCGAUGGCAUCAUGCUCCCUUCCAAUUUCUCUCAAUUAUAUUUGUGUGGAUGUAUCCCCUCAUCUUUUUUAUUUCCUCAUCUUUUCUCUCCAAACCUUAUGAUGCUGCAAAUGGCUCCCACUGUGUGGUGCAAAUCAAGCUGAGGCUGUGAGCUUGGUCCAGCAGCACUGCCUGACUGAACUACAGAGAGAUUGUUUUGCGCGCGCCCAUCAACAUUCUGCGGGAUAGAAGGUGAGCAGUCAGGAACUAUGGGGAGUUAACUAAUAAAGGAGCAACAAAUGAAUCUUGAAGUAUUACAGAUAGUUUUAAAGUUUCAGAAUCGACCUGUAUCUACCUCUGCAUUAGCUACUUUUCUUGAUUGGAUAUGCACAAAUAUCCUCAAGUUUCUGAUAACU